rfam:Maribacter sp. HTCC2170, complete genome.
GGGGCCGACUGGUUUUGACAGCGAGACCAAUGGCAAUGUAAGCAUGUCGAGCGCUGGUGAAUAGCUCGCUAAUCUCAUUUUCCACACUUUUAAUUGGCGAUAACAAUUACGCUCUUGCCGCUUAAUCUGAAUUAUAGUAAGAUUAGCCUCGUCUCUACUAGGUAGAGAAGCGAGAUGUUCCUGAAUAGCCUCUGUCGACGGCGAUUCAAUUCGGAGCACCAUAAAUGUCGAUAUAAGGCUACUAGCGCUUCGAUAGUAGCACCAAAAUCUUAAGAAGAUAAGUGUAUGUUAGGCCGUUUCCGGUCAGGCAUGCAACGAAAACCAAUCGGAAACUAAACAUGUAGAAGGCAUUAACGUUGCUUGUUUGGACGAGGGUUCGACUCCCUCCGGCUCCACAA